UACGGGGGGAACGAGUGUUAUUCAUCAUCACUGGGCGUAAAGGGUAUGUAGAUGGUUUUACAAGUUUUUUUCUAAUUAUGGAGUAAAAAUAAUUAUAAAUUUAUACUAUAGAACUUGAAUUAGAGAGAGGUAAGUGGUAUUUGAUUUAGAGAGGUGAAAUGCGGCAUAGAUCAGAGACCGUCGACGGGCGAAGGCGACUUAUCAUCUUUAAUUGACAUUGAAAUACAAAAGCAUAGGGAGCAAACAGG
rnacentral:rRNA from 1 species